rnacentral:rRNA from 1 species
CCUACGGGAGGCAGCAGUGAGGAAUAUUUGUCAAUGGGCGUGAGCCUGAACCAGCCAAGUAGCGUGAAGGAUGAAUGCUCUACGGGUUGUAAACUUCUUUUAUAUAGGAAUAAAGUGAGGCACGUGUGGCUUUUUGCAUGUACUUUAUGAAUAAGCAUCGGCUAACUCCGUGCCAGCAGCCGCGGUAAUACGGAGGAUCCGAGCGUUAUCCGGAUUUAUUGGGUUUAAAGGGUGUGUAGGUUGUUUUUUAAGUCAGCGGUGAAAGUUUGUGGCUCAACCAUAAAAUUGCCGUUGAAACUGGAAGAGUUGAGUGUGUUUGAGGUAGGCGGAAUGCGUGGUGUAGCGGUGAAAUGCAUAGAUAUCACGCAGAACUCCGAUUGCGAAGGCAGCUUACUAAGCCAUAACUGACACUGAAGCACGAAAGCGUGGGGAUCAAACAGGAUUAGAUACCCCUGUAGUC